rnacentral:lncRNA from 1 species
CCAAAUUCAGUAUUAUACAUGGAGCUUAUGUACUGGGUUACCAGGUUUUUUUUAGAAAAAUUCUACCAUUCAAUGUUGUCUUUUUGUCUGUGCUUUAUGGGUAAUAUGGACUGAAAGAAACAAAUUGGUCAUGAGGGGCAAAGGAAAACAAGUUUAGCCAUAACGAAUUUUAUUAGGAAUUAUGUUCAAAAACUAGAUGGUUGAAUAAUUCCAUACAUGUUCAAAGAAUGGAGUUGAAAAAGUGGCAGCCAACAGAGAACCCAUUUGUGAAAAUAAACUUUGAUGCAGCAUACAGAAAACAUGAAAGCAAAUCUUGCUCAGUGAUUGCAAUUAGAGAUUCUAUGGGGCGGGUAUUGAGUUUUAGGGUUGAGUUGAAUGAUAAUGUACCCUUGGUGUUCGCAGUAGAGGCUAUUGCAUGCGUUCAACUGGGCCUGGAUCUGGGGUUUACGACAGUCGAAAUUGAAGGAGAUGCCCUAUCUAUUGUAAAAAAAAUACACAAAGGAGGGGUGAUAAAUAAAAAAUUUGUGCUUAUAUUAGAGAUGGGCAAGGGCUGGGUAAAAGAUUUCAAACCUGUCAAUUUAAACAUGGGCACAAAUUAACGAAUUGGGUUGCUCAUUUGCUGGCUGCAAAAGGUCUAAAGAAAGGGGAUCGAUGCUUGAUGAGAAAUGGGUUUCCUGAGUAUGUUAGAGAAUAAGUGGAAAUGGAUCAUAGGGGAUAAUGUUUUUGGUCUGGGUUUUUUCUUAGUUUGGCAAGUUGGGGGACAAGAAGCAUAUAGAGAAGAGAGAUAAAUGGAAGUCGGAUGGUUUCUAGUAAUUGGAAAAAAAAAAAAGAUAAAUUAUUGAGGGGUUACUAUCUAGUUGUUGGAUCACAGGAGUUGUGUCGCAUUAAUUGCUUCAAGAGUAAGCUCCUUUCUUUGUUGGAUUAUUGGGCUGAUUGGGUUAGCCCAACUUUAUUGUUUUGCCCGUUUGUUG